UCCCUGACUUGCUCCACUGUCGUCCAGGCGUCUGCGGGCGGACCUGCUUGUUUUUCUCAAGUCUGUAUUUUACUUUGAGUGAGCAAAAACUUUCAACUUCAAACCAAGACGAUCUCUGAAAAAAAAACCAUGUAUAUCCAAUCUUCAAACCUCUGGUUUUCGGCUCUUCUUUGUGCUGGUAUCCUGUGUCAGGUGUACGUAAAAGCCCGACCCGCGAGUAAGGCCACGCCUAGUGAUAACGGCAAGAAAGAGGCGAACGACGUCAUCAGCGGCUCCCC